rnacentral:tRNA from 1 species
CCCCCCGGCAGAAAAAAAAUAUAUAGCGAAGAAAGAAAAUAAAGCCUGGUACUUUAUUUAAUGUAAACGCGUGAAAGAUGGCGCUCUUCCGUUUCAAAGCCAGACAGGAAAUGCCACGCACGGUGAAAUAAGGGUGAUCACCUGAUUCAGAGAAUGAGAGGGGGGCGCUAAAAUCGAAAUUAGCUUGACAGGUACAAUGCAAGACACCUCUGAAGUCAUGAUGUAUUUUCAAAAAAUAAAACAACUUGCAUUCAUUUUGAAUCUUGGAUGAGAGUAUUUUUCUUAUAAAUUUCAAAACUGAUUCCUUUCAUUAAAACAGCGCCAUCAGAAAUUGCUAUCCGCCUUUAAUUCUUUGUCUGUGUUUUUCAAAUCCUAAGACAAUUGCCUCUCGAACUUACCCAAAUAAACCAUCGUGGUCGUUGUACAAGAAUACCAUCGUCAUAGAAUGCAUUCUCAAGUCCUAUCAUCAUCGUCGUCGCUGUCAUUGUCAUCAAUCACCUGUCUGUGUCCGCUUUGGGCAUGUUGGGCGUGGAAGCAACUGCACGGAGGAAGGUCUAACAUUUCAUCUUGUUUCAUUUCUUUCAUGCUGUUUUUCCUCAUUUUCCGAGCAACUUUCUUCCAGGGGAUCUGCAUUUGGUUUACCACUAGUUUUCCGAUUUAUGGAUAUUUUUGCUCACGGCGACUGGCAAGACCGAAUACCGAGGUAUUUCUUAAUAUUUCACUUCGUAACAAUGGAAACAAUGAAUGAACUAUACUAGGUGCAUUGCAUUUCCAUACUUCGCUAUUAAAUCUCGGUCAAAGGCGCUCGGUGCUGCGUGAAACACAUUUAUUUUUUAGAAGUUAGAAGCUUCUUCAUAAUUCGCUGAAUCUACGUGAUAUGAGAUACCCCGUUCAUCGGAUUCAAUCAGUUAUUCCUGCACACAUCAUAAUCCACAUCUUUCUUAUUUCGAUCUGAAAAGGGGUGCAUGAGUUUAAGCACUAUUUCAUUUUUUAAGUACUGUGUAGGAACAUUCUGAAGUGGGAGGGGGCAGGGCCCUGUCCAAGGAGGAUUAGUUUAUUGUCACUGGUGUGCUGAGCAUUGCCACAGCACCCCAGUGACAAGAGAUAAUCCUGCCAGGUCCAUGGGGUAGGGUUCCUACAAAACUUUAUUUAUUUUCUUACAUAUCUGUUAUUCGUCACCCAUGGACCUCACCUAGGUCCAUGGUCAUACCUUCCAGAUUUCCAGGGGGGUGCUGCCUAUCGAAAAUAACACACGCAGCACCCCCGCGUCUUAGGGCCAUGACCCAAUACUGAACAAUCUAUUAGUUUCACAUCCUAUAGGGUGUACGAAAUAACCACCUGGGUAGAGAAUGGCAAACUGGAGAUUAAAGAACGAUAAGUGCCUACUAUAUAACAAACUUUCAGUUACCAUGGUUAUUACAACAUUCCUACUGGGUAGACUCACGGAUCCAUGCGAUUGGUCGAAUGCGCAGAAAGAAAUUACUUUCAAGCUCUUACGUUCAUGAAUAACAAGCAGUGGUGUUUCUAGCUGGUGGCCAAGUGGGCGAAAUUCUGGCGCCACUCGUCAUGCAUGUAGGGGCACAAAAGUGCAAAAAGGAAAAACAUCGCGAUAAAAUAAUGAAAGUUUCAACUUUGCUUCCCUCAUACACAGAGUAAAUGCACGCGAUAGAUUACACUUUUUUUUUAGAUAUAUUUCCUUUUUGUUUUCUAUGAUUUUCGUUUGUUUUAUGUUGUUUUCUUACAGGGACGUACAAGCAUGACAAGAUAAAUGCAUUUGUAAUUAAUUUGUAUUUUCUUUAAUUAUUGUUAUUCUUUUACUCCAGCAAACCUUCCAAAGGCGCCAAACAGAAUAUUCAAGUUAAGGGGGUAGGAUGUCGUGAAUGCUAUGUCGGGCAACGAUGGUAUAUCUUAUUAAAGCUUUGUUAAGACCAAAGAGUUAUACUAAUUGCUAUAAAGACGUUUAUCAGGAUCGAUGCCGUGGUUUUGUAUUUCAAAAUUUAUACAGAUUUCACUCCCAAUUUUAUGUAAGUAUCCAAACUUUCAUACCCAACCAGCUUAGCAAAGAGAAUGAUUGUAUUUUGUUUUAUUUCUUUAUCAUCCUUACAUCUUCUUGCCCCUCUAACCUUAUACCAUGCCGUUUGCAUUGUAAGGCUCUGUGCUCUAUUAUGACAUUUUUUUGCCAUUGCAAAUACAUUUUAAAGAGAAAUUAAUCAUUGAAAAUAUAUAUUAAUAAAAACGAUAAUGUUCUAGAGAAAAUAUAACGAAAAAAAAUAAAUUGAUACAUGGCAUGAAAAUUUUGAAUUUGUGGUGACGCCGUGGUCGUCUGGAAAAUAAAUUUUGUUGUCAUUAUCAUGAAACAGAGCAGUUUAAGCAUUGCAUCACUUGUCAAUAGUCCAUUUUCCUUAUCAUGUUGCAGUAAUUUGAAAGACAUAAGGAUUAUAAGAAAUAUAACAAUUAGUAGCAUAAUUUCUUGAACUAGCAGAACGAUUAAAAAAAGCGCCUUGGGCAAUCUGCUGACUGGAUUUGGCGCAUUACAAAUCCCGUAUAAUAGUAUUAUUAUUAUCAUUGUUCUGUUGUUGUUAUUAUUAGUAGUAGUAGUAGUAGUAUUAUCAUUAUUAGAUAUAGGACCUUAUCAGUGUUUCACGAUUCGAUUUGAAAUUUGGAAGCUGCGGUGAUGAAGGAUGCAUCCAAAACAUUCAUUUCUUAAAAUGAUGAUUAUAUAAGUAGAACUGGCAAUAAGUUUGCUAUUGAAUAUUCUCAUCAUGCAGCUCAACCUUUCCUUCUUAAUGCGACAGUUAGCAUAGUCACAAACGAACCGAUUCCAAACUGAUCGAUGAUCAAUAUGCCAUUGGAAAUUACGUAAUAUCUUUGAUCGGUCUUGAGUCAUUUUCGUUGGUGUUACAGCAGCAUUGCACCUGACAGAGUUCUUCGAUCAUAUCCCGACACCCUACAAUCGGAGCACCGAAUCCCGUGUGGUCUAGUGGUUAGGAUUCGUGGUUUUCACCCACGCGGCCUGGGUUCGAUUCCCGGCACGGGAGGUAGCUCUUUUUAUUAAGUUUAUCAUAUUUUCUAAAAUAACCUAACAAUUUUAACAAUGUUUGUGAAUCUACAUGACUGUAUACCGUUACACAAUUUUUUUUUAAAUUUCUUUUCUUUUUAUGUUGUCGAUGAAAAUUUUAUAUAGAUAUAAUCUUUAAAAAGAAAUCAAUUCGAUUGAAAUUUCAUAUUUUAAUAUUUGUAAGAAGAUUGCUUUUUGCAUUUAACAUUCUUCAGUGAAGUUUCCACGAUAAAACAAGAAAAUCAUUCGAAUCCAUGCGACUGUAACAAUAUAUUUUUUAAAGACUUUAACUGAUUUCUUUUCUCCUCAAACACAGAAUCCCGUGUGGUCUAGUGGUUAGGAUUCGUGGUUUUCACCCACGCGGCUCGGGUUCGAUUCCCGGCACGGGAGGUGGCUAUUUUUCUCAUGUUUUCUACAGUAUCCUUUCUAACAUUUUGACAAGGUUUCCGAAUCUAAAUGACUCUAUACCGUUACACA